rnacentral:tRNA from 1 species
AGCUCAGUGGUAGAGCACUUGCCUAGCAUGUAGGAGGCCCUGGGUUCAAUUCCCAG